GCCAAUCAAACUGGGAGAUAGCUCGUACUCCCCGAAAUGCAUUUAGGUGCAGCGUCGGCGAGAGUGUGAUGGAGGUAGAGCUACCGAUAGGGCUAGGGGGCGUCACUGCCUACCAACCCCUGACGAACUCCGAAUGCCAUUACACUGCACCGGCAGUGAGGCUAUGGGUGCUAAGGUCCAUAGCCGAGAGGGAAACAACCCAGACCAACCGCUAAGGUCCCAAAUUUAUAUCUAAGUUGAGCAAACGAUGUGAGAAUGCACAGACAGCUAGGAUGUUGGCUUGGAAGCAGCCAUUCAUUUAAAGAGUGCGUAACAGCUCACUAGUCGAGCGUUCUUGCGCGGAAAAUGAUCGGGCAUAAAGGUAUAAACCGAAGCGUUGGACCACGUGAGUGGUGGUAGGGGAGCAUUCUAAUUGAGGAGAAGGUAUGUUGUGAGGCAUAUUGGAUUGAUUAGAAAAGAAAAUGUAGGCAUAAGUAACGAUAAGGGAGGUGAGAUGCCUUCCCGCCGUAAGACCAAGGAUUCCUGGAUCUAUGUUAAUCAGAUCAGGGUUAGUCGGGGCCUAAGGAGUAGCCGAGAGGCGAAUCUGAUGGGAAACCGGUUAAUAUUCCGGUACCUGUGUAUACUGCGAUGGGGUGACGGAGAGGCGUAAGGACUGCGUACUGACGGAAUAGUACGUUGAAGCGAGUAGGUGAUGAGACGGCAGGCAAAUCCGCCGUUGAGCUGAUGCGUGAUAGUACAGGGUUUUGCGUGCAAGACCUUGAUAAUGUCCCUAAGCGAGCUUCCAAGAAAACCCUCUAAGCUUCAGGUAUACAGAGCCCGUACCGUAAACCGACACAGGUGGUCGAGGAGAGUAUCCUAAGGCGCUCGAGUGAAUCAUGGCUAAGGAAUUAGGCAAAAUGGCCUCGUAACUUCGGGAGAAGAGGCGCUCAUAGAAAUGUGAGCCGCAGUGAAAAGGCCCAGGCGACUGUUUAGCAAAAACACAGGACUCUGCGAAUUCGAAAGAAGAAGUAUAGGGUCUGACACCUGCCCGGUGCUGGAAGGUUAAGGAAGGGGGUUAGCAGCGAUGCGAAGCUCUUGACUGAAGCCCCAGUAAACGGCGGCCGUAACUAUAACGGUCCUAAGGUAGCGAAAUUCCUUGUCGGGUAAGUUCCGACCUGCACGAAUGGUGUAACGAUCUGGGCACUGUCUCAGCCAUGAGCUCGGUGAAAUUGAAGUAUCGGUGAAGAUGCCGGUUACCCGCAGUGGGACGAAAAGACCCCGUGCACCUUUACUAUAGCUUCACAUUGAGCUUGAGUAUAAGAUGUGUAGGAUAGGUGGGAGACUGAGAAGCUGUCACGUCAGUGGUGGUGGAGUCGACGUUGAAAUACCACCCUUUUUAUACUUAGGUUCUAACUCCACUGAAGGUGGAGGACAUUGUGUGGUGGGUAGUUUGACUGGGGUGGUCGCCUCCAAAAGAGUAACGGAGGCUU
rnacentral:rRNA from 1 species